ACGUAGGCAGCGAGCGUUGUUCGGAGUUACUGGGCGUAAAGCGUGCGUAGGCGGUGUCUCAAGUUUGUUGUGAAAUCUCCCGGCUUAACCGGGAGGGUGCGGCGAAUACUGAGAUGCUGGAGUGCGGGAGAGGUAAGCGGAAUUCCAGGUGUAGCGGUGAAAUGCGUAGAUAUCUGGAGGAACAUCAGUGGCGAAGGCGACACCCUGGACUCAUACUGACACUGAGGUGCGAAAGCGUGGGGAGCGAACAGGA
rnacentral:rRNA from 1 species